AUGGCGACCGGCGCACGGGUGAGUAACACGUAUCCAACCUGCCGAUAACUCGGGGAUAGCCUUUCGAAAGAAAGAUUAAUACCCGAUGGCAUGAUUAGACCGCAUGGUCUUAUUAUUAAAGAAUUUCGGUUAUCGAUGGGGAUGCGUUCCAUUAGGCAGUUGGUGAGGUAACGGCUCACCAAACCUUCGAUGGAUAGGGGUUCUGAGAGGAAGGUCCCCCACAUUGGAACUGAGACACGGUCCAA
rnacentral:rRNA from 1 species